GGGGUCAUAGCUCAGUUGGGAGAGCGCUUGUGAAUGGCAUUCAAGAGGUCGGCGGUUCGAUUCCGCCUGGCUCCACCA
rnacentral:tRNA from 1 species